rnacentral:rRNA from 1 species
UGCCUCAGUAACGGCGAGUGAAGCGGCAAUAGCUCAAAUUUGAAAUCUGGCUCUUUCAGGGUCCGAGUUGUAAUUUGCAGAGGAUGCUUCGGCUUCGGCCCCGGUCUAAGUUCCUUGGAACAGGACGUCACAGAGGGUGAGAAUCCCGUAUGUGAUCGGUGGCCUUCGCCAUGUGAAGCUCCUUCGACGAGUCGAGUUGUUUGGGAAUGCAGCUCUAAAUGGGAGGUAAAUUUCUUCUAAAGCUAAAUAUUGGCCAGAGACCGAUAGCGCACAAGUAGAGUGAUCGAAAGAUGAAAAGCACUUUGGAAAGAGAGUUAAAAAGUACGUGAAAUUGUUGAAAGGGAAGCGCUUGCAAUCAGACUUGCCCGCGGUUGCUCAACCGGUCUUUUGGCCGGUGUACUCUUCCGCGGUCAGGCCAGCAUCAGUUCGGGCGGUCGGAUAAAGGCUUAGGGAAUGUGGCUCUCUUCGGGGAGUGUUAUAGCCCUUUGUGCAAUGCGGCCCGCCUGGACUGAGGUCCGCGCUUCGGCUAGGAUGCUGGCGUAAUGGUUGUAAGCGGCCCGUCUUGAAACACGGACCAAGGAGUCUAACAUCUAUGCGAGUGUUUGGGUGUCAAACCCGUACGCGUAAUGAAAGUGAACGGAGGUGGGAACCUUAGGGUGCACCAUCGACCGAUCCUGAUGUCUUCGGAUGGAUUUGAGUAUGAGCAUAGCUGUUGGGACCCGAAAGAUGGUGAACUAUGCCUGAAUAGGGUGAAGCCAGAGGAAACUCUGGUGGAGGCUCGCAGCGGUUCUGACGUGCAAAUCGAUCGUCAAAUUUGGGUAUAGGGGCGAAAGACU